AAUGACAGAAACAUCAGCUCCUUUUCCUGUUUACAUUUAAAUGACAGAAACAUCAGCUCCUUUUCCUGUUUACAUUUAAAUGACAGAAACAUCAGGUCCUUUUCCUGUUUACAUUUAAAUGACAGGAACAUCAGGUCCUUUUCCUGUUUACAUUUAAAUGACAGAAACAUCAGCUCCUUUUCCUGUUUACAUUUAAAUGACAGAAACAUCAGCUCCUUUUCCUGUUUACAUUUAAAUGACAGAAACAUCAGCUCAUUUUCCUGUUUACAUUUAAAUGACAGAAACAUCAGCUCCUUUUCCUGUUUACAUUUAAAUGACAGAAACAUCAGCUCCUUUUCCUGUUUACAUUUAAAUGACAGGAACAUCAGGUCCUUUUCCUGUUUACAUUUAAAUGACAGGAACAUCAGCUCCUUUUCCUGUUUACAUUUAAAUGACAGGAACAUCAGCUCCUUUUCCUGUUUACAUUUAAAUGACAGGAACAUCAGGUCCUUUUCCUGUUUACAUUUAAAUGACAGGAACAUCAGGUCCUUUUCCUGUUUACAUUUAAAUGACAGGAACAUCAGGUCCUUUUCCUGUUUACAUUUAAAUGACAGGAACAUCAGGUCCUUUUCCUGUUUACAUUUAAAUGACAGGAACAUCAGGUCCUUUUCCUGUUUACAUUUAAAUGACAGGAACAUCAGGUCCUUUUCCAUAUCCAUUUAAUAGAGUGGUGAGUGAAGGCAUGCAGUAGUCUGAUGUUGUGUAGUGAGAAAGUUAGACUUCUAAACUGUUUUAAACUGUAUGAAUUGUUUUACCCCAAAAUCAAUCAAUCAAUCAAUCAAUGGACUAG